GUGGGGAAUAUUCCGCAAUGGACGAAAGUCUGACGGAGCAACGCCGCGUGAGUGAUGAAGGUUUUCGGACUGUAAAGCUCUGUUGUUUAGGACGAAAGUGCCUGUUGCAAAUAGUUACAGGUAUUGACGGUACUGAACGAGGAAGCCACGGCUAACUACGUGCCAGCAGCCGCGGUAAUACGUAGGUGGCAAGCGUUGUCCGGAAUUAUUGGGCGUAAAGAGCAUGUAGGCGGGAAUCUAAGUCUGUUGUGAAAAUGCGGGGCUCAACCCCGUAUUGCGAUGGAAACUGGGUUUCUUGAGUGCAGGAGAGGAAAGGGGAAUUCCCAGUGUAGCGGUGAAAUGCGUAGAUAUUGGGAGGAACACCAGUGGCGAAGGCGGCUUUCUGGACGGUGUCUGACACUGAGGCGCGAAAGCUAGGGGAGCGAACGGGAUUAGAAACCCCAGUAGUCC
rnacentral:rRNA from 1 species